rnacentral:lncRNA from 1 species
CAUCUAUAUUCUAAACUAUUACCACUUAUUCUGUUUUUUACCUUUUACAGCCCUGUGCUUGACCACGUAUGACACUUUGACAUCUCAAAUCAACAGUUUGACAGGGAGAGAUUAAAUAUACUAGAAAAUAUACUAGAAAACACACAACCAGAGUCUGCAGAAUAUUCAAGGACACUGCAUGGAGCUGUUCAUCUCAAGUGUUUGAGAGGACCACAGAACAUCUAUGCUGACUUCUGUCAACAAGAAGUAUUUCACAGUCAAGAUUUUACAUGCUACCUCCUGAUGCCAACACUCUUUGAAAGGAGUGCAUUGUUGCAGCGUUCUGUUGUUUACCCUCUAAUUUGA